GCUAAGACUGGAUAGGAAGAAAUAAGGCAUCUUUUUUCUUUUAAAAGACCUAGUGAUAGGUAUACUUUAGGAGGGGCUUGCGCCAUAUUAGUUAGUUGGUAGGGUAAUGGCCUACCAAGACGAUGAUGUGUAGCUGGACUGAGAGGUUGAACAGCCACAUUGGGACUGAGACACGGCCCAAACUCCUACGGGAGGCAGCAGUAGGGAAUUUUCGGCAAUGGAGGAAACUCUGACCGAGCAACGCCGCGUGAACGACGAAGUACUUUGGUAUGUAAAGUUCUUUUAUCAAGGAAGAAAAGCAAGUGGUGAACCAUUUGUUUGCCGGUACUUGAUGAAUAAGCCCCGGCUAAUUAUGUGCCAGCAGCCGCGGUAAGACAUAAGGGGCAAGUGUUAUCCGGAAUUAUUGGGCGUAAAGGGUGCGUAGGCGGUCUAGUAAGUCAGUGGUGUAAUGGCAACGCUCAACGUUGUCCGGCUAUUGAAACUGCUAAACUUGAGUUAGAUAGAGGCGAGUGGAAUUCCAUGUGUAGCGGUAAAAUGCGUAAAUAUAUGGAGGAACACCAGAGGCGUAGGCGGCUCGCUGGGUCUUAACUGACGCUGAGGCACGAAAGCGUGGGGAGCAAACAGGAUUAGAUACCCUGGUAGUCCACGCCGUAAACGAUGAGUACUAAGUGUCGGGUUAAACCGGUACUGAAGUUAACACAUUAAGUACUCCGCCUGAGUAGUACGUACGCAAGUAUGAAACUUAAAGGAAUUGACGGGACUCCGCACAAGCGGUGGAUCAUGUUGUUUAAUUCGAAGAUACCCGAAAAACCUUACCAGGUCUUGACAUGUUUUUGCGAAACGGUAGUAAUAUCGUGGAGGUUAUCAGAAACACAGGUGGUGCAUGGUUGUCGUCAGCUCGUGUCGUGAGAUGUUAGGUUAAGUCCUAAAACGAGCGAAACCCCUAUCGUUAGUUGCCAGCACGUUAUGGUGGGGACUUUAACGAGACUGCCAGUGAUAAAUUGGAGGAAGGUGAGGAUCACGUCAAAUCAGCAUGCCCCUUAUGACCUGGGCUACAAACGUGAUACAAUGGCUGCUACAAAGGGUAGCUGAAACGCAAGUUCUUGGCCAAUCCCCAAAAACAGUCUCAGUCCGGAUUGAAGUCUGCAACUCGACUUCAUGAAGUUGGAAUCGCUAGUAAUCGCGAAUCAGCAUGUCGCGGUGAAUACGUUCUCGGGGUUUGUACACACCGCCCGUCAAAUCAC
rnacentral:rRNA from 1 species